CAGCUAUCUCUACAUCCAGCAACGCUCCAUGGCAGCACCACCAACACCAUCAUCAAACAGCCACCUUCACGGUACCAGCAAAGGAAAAGAAAAGGAGGUGUGUUUAGCUUUGGAAAGGCAUGGCAGCAGCUUACAUCUUAGGGGCUGGACGCGUGAGGAUGUCACAGCUGAAUGGAGAAAGAGAAUGAUGGGAGUUUAGAAGCAUCCAGUAGCGUGAAAAUGGGAUGGACGUUAGAAGAGAAUGGAGAAAUGUCAUGGUCUUGAGUAGCUGACGCAACCAGCAGCCCCUAUGCAGAAUUGAUAAUUGGAC
rnacentral:sRNA from 1 species